UACGGAGGGGGCUAGCGUUGUUCGGAAUUACUGGGCGUAAAGCGCACGUAGGCGGCUUUGUAAGUUAGAGGUGAAAGCCCAGGGCUUAACCCUGGAAUUGCCUUUAAGACUGCAUCGCUAGAAUCGUGGAGAGGUAAGUGGAAUUCCGAGUGUAGAGGUGAAAUUCGUAGAUAUUGGGAAGAACACCAGUGGCGAAGGCGGCUAUCUGGACCGUAACUGACGCGAUGAGGCGCGAAAGCGUGGGGAGCAAACAGG
rnacentral:rRNA from 1 species